ensembl:lncRNA
UCUGAAAGCUGUGGACAAGAGAUAUUUUACUUUGUAUUCUUAUGGUGACAUUUUAACUAUCAUUGAUCAGUCAUUCAUCAUUGUUGAAUCUGAUGACAGUAUAAUCUUUGUUUUAUAUCUAUGGUAAUCUGAGUAAAGAUUAAUGGAUGCAUAUUAUCAUCAUUGUAAUCAAGUCUCAAAUGGUAUCCACAGCAUUGUAUUCACCGUCCAAACUGGAGGGUCCAGCAGGACCUUGUUCUAAUUCAUUUGCAGGCCUACAUCAGAACAUGCACAUACAGAGUUAUGUAAACACGCACGUUCGCAUACACACUUAUUUACACAGGGAGGUCAUGUCAGGACAUUCUCUAGUUGGACACACAGGCUCACAGAACUGCACAACAUGACAUGUCACACACUUGUUUUUCUCUAAAGUAUCAUCUGAUGUUUGUAUAAGGAGAACUUUGGACUAUGGGGAGACUGUUAUCAUUUCCAGUAAGGUCUAACUGUGUGAUGUCAUCAUGGGUUAUAUAAGGAUGGGGAACUGUCCACUCUUUGGAGAAUCUGUUGCAAGUUUUCUUCCCACACUUCUGCGCAGAGUGUGUAAUUAAAGAUCACUAUUUUGACGCCUCCCUGGACUCAGCCUGCUUUCUUCUCUUACCCAAAACGAACGAAUCUUAACAAUUCUUGGUGCCGAAACUCCGGCUGGGGAGGAGAGGAGCUGCGGCUGCUGCGUGGAAGGUGCCAAAACGAACGGAGAUCAGCAGCUUAUCUGAGUGACAAGCCAGGCGAAAUAAAAGCUUCCUUCCUGCGUGCUCAGGGUGGGGCGAGCAGAGACAAACGAUGCUGCAGAGGGAGGAAGAAGAGGAGAAGAUAAAGACCGAGGCUCUGAGAGGAAAUGCGAUCUCCCACCUGGGAGGGGUUUGGCUGGGAGCCGGAGAGAUGUGACGGUAGACGCUGAUAAGUUAAAGUUAUUAACUUACUGGCACAUCAGUAAAGUUCAACCGGACUCAAAAAGAAGCAAAAACGAAAUAAUUGUGAACCAAACAGUGUGUUAAACUCACUUUUACUGUCUGUGUGCAAACAGGCUGUAACGUCUGUGACUCGCUGCUGUUUUCACACAUGAUCUGCAUCCCUGACACAGACGUGUUGGGGAGACACGUGAUCCAGUGCAACGAUCACUGCAGUCUCCUUAUCUAUUUUGCCUGAUGUGUAAAAGCAGCACGUGUAUAAUUUAACCAGCGUUAUACUCUUAGCACCACCUUUUCCGUCCUUGCAUCUAUAAUGACUCUGAUGAACCUGCUAACUCACUCGCUUGCUAAAUGAACAGCUAAUGUAAUUUAGUUUAAUUUUAGUUUCAUAAUGAAGUUUUUAUUUGAACCAAGUGGCUAAUAAUCAAGUGAAGGUUGUAGCUGUUUGUGUGAAAUAUCUGUGAAAGAAAUGCAAACCCAGACUAAGCUUGCAGAAAUCCUUCAUCUUUGUUAAAGAAACUCGUCCGUUCGUGUUCUGUGUGACUUCAUCUCCGCGCUUCAAACGAAUUCACCUUUGUCUCGUCGAUGCUCCCGAGCACCUGCUGGCUGUGACCUCACACCUCGCACAUCAACAGGACGAGGUUAUUAUGUUGAGACAAAAUCAAAGCCCGGCGUAGCGCCUUUUACCUGCCAGGAGGGAUUAGGUGUGAUGUGUCUGCAGCUGCUGUGAGUCUGAGCUCUCAGUGGAUCAUCAGCCAUGAAGAAGAAAGAUCCAGAGUCAGAAGAGCCGCUGGCUCGCUGUGGUGUAAGUGGGUGGGAGUGCGUGGGAGGAUGUGGUGGAAACAAGAGAGGAUGUGUGUGGGACCACUGAGGAUAAUGUGUGUGUGUUGGUGAGAACAUUUAAGUGGAGCUCAUCUCCAUAAUGUGGAUUCAUUUUCUGUUUCGCCUUGGGCCUCACAAAGUUUUACAGCCAUGCUUUCGAUCUUUACACACAAACCUCUGUGAUCUCAGUCGUUGCUGGGAUUCAUAUUUUCAUGCAUACACCAUGAACUCACUGCUUCCCUGAGCUCCACGAGCGCUACUUUCAGCUCGUUUGUUCAGCUCAGUGUUCUCGCUGUUUUGGCCACAGGCAGCCGUGUCCAACGAUAAACCCAGGUACGCUACCUGUACAGCAGACGGACUAGCCUGUGGGAGCAUUAGCAGCUAAAGACUCGAGCUGGUGGUUAGAUAUGCUCACUCCUCCUGAACCAGCUACUGUGCGUCACAGCUGCUGUGAUGGAGAGCAUGAGUUAGCGUGAGUCAGGUCUGUCAGGUCUCAUAAACCUGUGAAGCACCCGCUGGCAUCACACACUGUUGGGAAGGAGAACAUUUUAACCCAAUUCCCGCCUCUUCCUAACCCUAACACGGACGUUUAUAAAGUCCGAUUCGAUCUGAAACCCAAGUAAUGAAUCCUCCAAUGAAAACAAAGCAAAGCGAGGAAAACGUGAAGGUUCAAAGGUCGACGUGAGGCAAACGUGCAAUCAGACGCUGACGUUACCUAAAGUCCUGGAGCAGGUCAGGAUCUGUGCUGCUGGCAGUCACAGCUGUAGCUCGGUGGUGUCUGAGCCGAUGAUGUCGCUGAGGCGUUUCCUCUGUCGGCCAUGUUUUUAUCGCCUCUUUCUAGAAUGAAACCAGAGAAGAAGUGGGAGAGCGGUCUUUGCUGAUCUCACAGCUCUCAGUUAAGUGUGCCCGUCACACGCGUGACACAUGAUCAUGUGAGGUAUUGAUUGACGUCGCAGCUGAGCCGAGGGCCGAGGCCGCACGCCGCCGAUUCCAUGUUUUAAUCCAGGAUGUGUGAAAAUGAUUAGAUCAGAUUAACCAGAGAGGUUGUUGAAUCAGAGGAUGUAACAUCCCUCGCUCGGACGACCUGUUUCGUGUUCUCUCUCAAACACAUGAACAGUACUGCUGCCUCCUCACUUUCAUUUCUUCUUCUCCUUCUUUAUAGUGUUUGUUGGCUGUUGGCAAACAGUAAAAUGGUGCAUUACCGCCACCACUUACUUUGAUUUGGGUGGAGGCAGUGAUAGAUGUGUGGCCGUGGGUGUUGUAUACACCGCCCCGAGCGCUCUGUCACACUGUGGCCUCUCACAGCUGGUGCCACUCACCCCUCAGCUAAAUCUAAUGGACUCCAGCGGGGCCGGGAAGCCACCCAGCGCGGGAGCCGUUGUUUAUCCAGGAGCAUACCGUCACUAAUGAGCAAUUUAUUCGUGCCUGUGUCGCUUCGUUUGCCUUCGUGGAGAGAAACGCAAAUCAUAAACAAACGUGCCGGCUUUGUGUCUGCCGGAGUGUGUGCGUGGGAGGGUGGGCUGUUGGAGGAGGGCGGAGGUAAUCCAGAGGUGACUAAACAAUGUCACACCAAUAAGAGCUCAUUUGAAUGUGAAAAGCAUCGGGCUGAGCUCCGGGACCGACUCCCCACAUCCCAUCUGAAAGGCAAAUACACAGAAAUAACACAACGGAGCUGUGUGACAGACGCGCAUGUCUUCAGAUGCUUCGUCAAUUAAGUGAUUAGUCAGAAAUAAUCAGGAACUUUUGAUAACCAGCUUUUCAUUCAGCAAACACAAACGUUCGCUGCUUUUUCUGCCUCUGCAGGACAACAAGCCGUGCUUCAGGACUGACAGCCUGGUGUGUCUAACAUUUGUUUAGUGAAAUACUUAAAGCCUAGAAUCAAAAAUAUGUUCAUACUCUUGCCUGUAACCCUGUUUUUCGGGUGGGCUGCCCAAUUCUGAGGAGAUGUUUGUUUCCCUUUAAGUCUGAAACGUCUCGUUCCAGAAACAUGAAGCAGUUAUUCAUGAAAAUCCUCUAACGUUGCUGUCAAAGAGGACUGUUCUCUAUCAUCAGGGGUCUCAAACUCCAGACCUCAAGUGUCCUGCAGGUUUUAGAUCUCACCCUGGGUCAACACACCUGAAUCACAUGACCAGUUCAUUACCAGGCCUCUGGAGAACUUCAGACAUGUUGAGGAGGUCAUUUAGCCGUUUAAAUCAGCUGUGAAGUAUCGAGGACACAUCUAAACCCUGCAGGACUCCGGCCCUCUUGGCCUGGAGUUCAACAACCCUGAUAUACAUCUACCGGUACUACCUGAAGGAAGCUCAGCCAAGGCGGACGUUCACGUCGUGCCACAGACGGGGGCUGGGCAGCACACUGAUACUGUCGGUUGGUGUCGACACUAAAGAAAAUAUUACGUUUGUAGAUUUUUGAGGGGCAGGGUCAUGAGCUGAACAUUUCUCUCUCUGAUUGUUUUGUUUUUUUCAGGUUUUAUUCUUUGUUAUUAUUGUUUAAUUUAUUUAUUUGAUUAAAAUCAGGAGGAGGCAGAAAUCACCUUUCUGUUUUGUAAACAUCAGCCUUCAUUUUAAAUGCUUCACCUCAGCCCAUGAGCCCUCAGCCCCUUAGGUUACAAAUUAUACUAAAAAAUAAUUGGUUCAUAUGAACUUUGACCUUUGAGCUCUGCACAGUCAGCAAAGUUGGUGGGAUUUCUCCUUGGGGAUCAAGAUGAAGGCACUCCAUCAGAGCCUGGACUGACAGACUGAGCCUGGCUAAAACAUUUCACCCAGAAAUCACAACCUUGUUUUUUCAAAGCCUACGGUGUCUCCAUUAACGGGGGGGGGUGGAUGCUUCUGCCUUUGCUGCAGCGUGGUUCUUUCAUGGUGGAGGCUGAUAAGGCAGGAGAGUUUUCAUGGUGAAGCAUCGCCUGGAGCUGUUUUACAGGCAUGUCGCUGGUGUGGAGGCAGAAAGAGGAUCCACACAAACAGAAUGGCAGAACAAAAGUAAUGAAGGAGGAAAAGCUGCAAACAGAGAGGAAAAACAAAGCAAAGGCAGAAGAAGACGGUGGGUGGUGGGAGGCCUGUCAGCGGAGGAGCUUUGUAGUCGGUCAGAAACCUCCUCGUGAUUAUUGAGUUAUUCAUCUCUCCACUUCCACGGGGAAAUCCCAGUCUGCUAAGAUGUGAACACAAAGACAGCUUAACACUGACGUGUGUGUGUGUGUGUGUGUUGCUACAUCCUUCGAGUUGAGGUCAUCCCUGUAAAUGACAGAGCUGAUGGUGACAUCAUCUGUGCAUCAUAAAGCUGACAAAUGCACAGCAGCUGAGUCAUGACUGACAGGAAGAAAAACACUUCAUGUUUCAGAAAUCAUUUAAACACUUGGGUUCAGUUUUUUCUACUCUUGGAUCUGUAUGAUGUCAUAAACAGGGGACAACCCUAAUAUGUUCUGGCACAGAGCCAAUCAGAACGAAGUGAUCUGAAAGGGGGAGGAGCUACAACAGAUCCUCCACCUUUCCCUCUGAGGAUGAACUGAGCGAGGCCUGCUAUAAGACUGAUCAAUGUGAUUAGUGUGAACUGUGACUCAGAGCUAUAGAGUAAAAAUAUGCAGCUGAAAACAGUCAUAGUUUCGUCACUGAUGCUGAUUUGAAUCUGUUUCGGUGGCUGUCACCGCACACAGUGUGAAACAUUAGCACAUCAAGAAAAUGAAGCCAGUGGAGAUGGGCCUUAAAUUUGGUCUGCAGGCCUCAGGUGGUGUUACCUGUGGCUGUGAGCUCAGGGAACACUGACCUGAUGAGUUUGAGGUCUGAGUCGCUCUUUCUGGCUCUUAUUAAAGUUUGCUUGGUCAGACCUGGCCGUCCUCGUCCCAUCAGUUUGUUGCUUGUCUUAAAAAAGAUGGUGGAGGUGAAAACAACGGCUCCCGGGCCUGGCAGAUCCCCAUCUACUAAACAGAAGUGAAGAAGUUAAAGAAUUGAAAAGGGGAGUAAGGGUGGGGAACGCAAACGAGAACGAACAGCUCGUGGAACUGAGGGAACAUCACUUUCAGAUCUCUCUUUUUUUCCCAGUAACAUAUUUUUUCUUUUCUUUUGUUUUAAUUUGUUGUAAUUUUCAGCAAAUCUGUUUGUGCUCUGCAUGUUGGGAAAGAGAGAAAUGACCUCUCUGCUCACUCAGUCACAAAGGGUUUUGUGGAAGUGCCUGCCACACUCGGUGCUCAUCGUCUACCGAAGGACAUUUGCACUUGAGUACUUUGUGCCUGGUUGCAUGUGAAGAAACUUUACAAAUCUGUAAUCUGUUAAGCUGCUUGGAGAAGAGCCAAAGCCUCUUCAUGAGAAAUGUUGAGUCACUGCGGUUCAGAGGAAUAAACCCACAUGCUGACUGUCACAUCUGCUCUGCACCAACAUCUAAAGAUCAGAUUAAACUAAAGUCAUCAGAUGACCUUUUUGCACUUAUUCAAUUAAAAAAUGACUUGUUGUUGUACACUGAUGUCACAGACGGCCAUUACAGGAAGAGAGCAGUGCAGAAAUGUCAAUUAGGAAAGAGUUUAUUUUAAAUUAAACAAGCAAUUUAAAAUGUUUCUUAAUUUAUGGUGUGUGCAGUACUGUCAAUGCUGAAUGCAAUGGGAUUUAGUGCAAGACAAUAAACCAAGGAGCAAACAAAGUCCAAAAGAGGAGCUCAAAGAGGAGCUCUAAGGACUUUUCUAGAGCACUGGAUGCUGGGCUCAGGUGUUACCAGUGAUGCUGAGUGUUAACAAGCCACGCCUCCUCUCUAACACCUGCAGAAAGGAGCUGUAACACAGACAAGAGGAAAGUAGAGCGAGUUGUAAAAAGUGAUCUUCUUAAAGUAAAGCCAGCUCUAAAUGUUUUGGCUUUGACUCUACUAAAGUAGCUUUGAUUGAAAAUUCAAAAUAAUCUUUCUUUAUCUUAUACAGAGCCUCAGUUCAUCCUAACCCCCUAACCCUAACCCUUUUAGCUCCUCCCCCUUCGAGUCAAAUUUCUUCUGAUUGGGUACAACCCAUUAAAAGUAAGAGGCCUGAAGAGCAGGCGGGUCCACUGUGCCUGAGAUGACCAUAUAUCAAACUUCAGCUGUACAGUUAUAACAUGCAAGUCUAUGGGACGGACUCACAGCUGGAGUCUGCCUCCAGUGGCUGUUAAAGGAACUGCAGCUUGAAUUUGGUUCAUUUUUUCAGUCUUCAGGUUUCCUCUCAGAUGCUAACAGGAAGUUUACCCACACUUUGACAAAUAAUUAUGACAGAAGAAUCUAAAGAUUCAAAAUGCUUUGUAGCGUUUUGUGAUGUGUGUGGAGUUUUAGAGUCUGCUGUGGACAUUUCAAAAAAAUCCAGUUUUCGGUUCCUGACAUUGACGUUUGUGUUGAUGCUGUUACACUAGGUUUAGAUUAAAUUAUGGAAAGUUCGUAUGCUGAUUAUUUUUUCAUUCUUCAUUCAAGAUAGUGAUCCUUACCUCACCUUUAGAAGAUAACAUUUUCUGCGAGGCAGAUUUGUUCAUUAACAGCUUUCUUUGUAAUCCGGGUGCAUUAUGCUUCAUUAAAAACAUAUUUGCUUUUGCACAUGAACAGUAUAUAAAUGUCAUUUCUCAGAGAAAGGAUGUCUGAUACAUAUCAUCCCCCCUGCUAUUCACACAGAGACAGCAGCACGUUUAACUCAGUGGUGCUUCAUUAAAAUGACACUUCAUCACAUAUUCAUGAGGACUGAUGUGAAGGACAUCAGCAGCUCGAUCUGCAGACUGUCGCACACACUUAGCAGAGUUCACCUAUAGACUGUCUGCUCUGUGGUAUGUGUGUGUGUGUGUGUGUGUGUGUGUGUGUGUGUGUGGAUGGAGUAGUAAAUGUGAGAUGUGUAAUGAAUAAUGAAUUUAGGGUGAAUUUAGGUCAUGCGGGCGAAUAGGAGGGACAACAUGGGAAUAGCUCUUUCUUUCCUCAUCUCCGUACACCUGUGUGUGUGUGUGUGUGUGUGUGUGUGUGUGUGUGUGUGUGCGUGUGUGUGUGUGUGUGUGUGUGUGUUUCGUGCAGACUAAAAGGGAAGUACCCUCUCCUCCCAGCAUUUGCUUAAUCUCUCCAUCCACACGUCCCUGUUCUUUCCUCCAGAUCGGAAUCUAUCAAUGAAUUAAUUUCUCGCUCUGUCGCUCUCCAUCCGUCCACCUGCAUCGCCUCCCUUUGACUCUCCGAUCCCCUCCCACCUCCCCACAGACUGCUCCACCUGCACCCGCCCCGUCUCCCCUCCUCCCCUCAGGCUUCCCUGUGGACGGGCGGGUCCACCUUCCUCUGCCUUUUGAAGCCCUUCAGGUUCUCUGGGAUGGCUCAGGACCCUGAAGAAGCCGAGGGGGGCCGCAGAGAGGAAAUUGGUACAGUAUGUUUAAUAUUAACCGGCACAGAACGGAAACAUGGCUGCCCACAGGGCAUGAACUGCCUCUUUACUGCGGUCUGCGAGAUUAACAGCAGCUAUUAAAAUGUCCUGUUUGGGCUUUCAGUCAUUAAACAUUUUCAUUCUUGAGAGUGAGCACUCAGCUGGCAACCCAACACUCAGACUGGGGUCUGGUAAUCUCUGUAACAUAUGUAAGAUAUGACUAUAGGAAGAAUAUACAGAGACCAAAAGCUUUCUAUUUAAUUAUUCCUGCGGUGUCCGCGUUGCUGCUGUAACAGUGUGAAUUUGCCAACACUGCAACUAAUAAACUUCUCUUAAAUCAAAGAAAAUGUCCAUCCCAGUUUGUGAGAGCUCCACGUCAGAAGAAAACUUUAACACUUUUAGUUUUCUGUGGAAAAAACAGCAAAUAAUAAAAUUUUUGGAGCUUAACUUUUGCUUUAUCACCAUAAAACCUGCAAAGUCCCCUCCUGCCUGAUACAUUCAUGUCUGCAGCUGAUAUACAGUUGUGAUCAAAUGUGUGGUAUGUUGUGUUUUCUUAAAUCUAAGACUGCGCCGUGAACGCGCAGGGCGCCGAAACUUGCAGCAUUAAUCAGAUCUGAAACUCUUCCUCCUCGUCCUUCCUCUCUAAAUCCUAAAUGGACUUCCUGUGCUCUCACGGCUGAUUUAAUUCAAGUGGUCAUAAUGUGUCAAAUUUCCAGGAUAACAAAGAAUCGGUGAGAGGCGAACAACACGGUGCGUUUAAUGUCAUUGUGCACCGGCAACAGCAACUCAACGAGCUUCCUGUCAGCAGAGGUCAAGCAGCUCUAAGCUGCAGCCUCAAUAAAGACUCAGAGUGUGUGAAGGAGGCGACCCUCCAUCAGGCGCCUUUAGAUUAAGACUUGAUUCAUUAACGAGCUCCGCCCCCUCCUUAAGUCAGUGCCAGCAGGAGCACCAUGAAUAUUUAAAUGAAGAAAGUCUCUGUGGAUGAUCAUGGAUUUCUGUUUUUUUAAAACCUCCAUGCUGAGGACGAGGCUGCUGUUAUUAAAGGAAGUGGAGCAUGCUGGGAUGUUUUCUUCACCCGUCAUUUAUUACGUCUGUUUCAUUUUUCUGUCUGAGCUCAUUACAUCAUUAGACCCACCCCCACCCCCAUCAGUGACAAAAUGACAAACACACACACACACGCACGCACACACACACACACGCACACGCACACACACACACACACACACACACGCACGCACACACACAGGCUCUCACACACCUUCUGUCCUGCUGUGCCAUUUGGCUCAUGUAUUUUGAAAAUACGCCCGGCAGGUAACAGCAGCAGCCCGACAGGCGGGAGCAGGUGUGUGUGUGUGUGUGUGCGUGUGUGUGUGUGUGUGUGUGUGUGUGUGUGUGUGUGUGUGUGUGUGUGUGUGUGUGUGUGUGUGUGUGUUUAAGUGACCGUGACGCAGGGCAGAUGUGAGUGUGUGUGUGUAAUCAUGAGUGAUAACAAUGAAAAACUAGAAGAAUAAGACUCUGACAGUCAUAGGAACUGAACGGGGGUCACGUCUGUGUCCUCUCUGUGUUUGUGGAGAUGCUCAGAAAGACCUGGAUCCUCACAAAGAGACAGUGUGUGUGUGUUUGUGUGUGUGCUGGGGACAGGUUGUGUAAUUAUGAGAUGUUGGAGGGGGUCUACAUUAGCCAGCUGUCACUCCUCGCCCCUCACCCCAUGUGUGUGCUUUAAGAGAAGCCUCGGAGACGGGCCUUGGCGGAGGACUGCUGGUGGUUACACUCACAGAUUGAUAAGUUAUGACACCUCCUGUAACCUCCUCUGCCCUCCCUGUCUGUUAGUAUUCUCACUCCGGUGUGUCAGCGUGGAGUCGCUACAGUCGGAGCAUCUUUAAGCUGCUGCAGCAUCACACCAGGCAUAAAGUCAGUGUAUAAAAACUUGUAUUUCCAUAAUUGUCCACUGAGGGAGUGAAUGAGGGAGGACAGUCAUCCAGACCCAGACCCUGUUCAUCUGCAAUAUGUCAUCCAUCAGUGCAAUUAGACACUGACAGCAACACUGGCUCUAUUCGAUUCUUUGUAUUCAUCUUCCAUGAGCGAUGCGUCCUCUCAGCUCUCUGGUGAAAACGACAUUUCAUCUGCGCGUUGGAGUGACAUGAACUCUUGGACAAUCUAUCUUACUGUCUUCUUAUGACUCCAGUUUGUUAUUUACAGUUAUUUCUUCUAACUUCCUGUCUUUUAAAAAAUUACAUAAAGUUGUGAAAAGAAUCUAAAGAGGCAACUGACUUUAUAUUCAACGCAUCUCUGUACUGUGU